rnacentral:rRNA from 1 species
GUGAGGAAUAUUGGUCAAUGGGCGGGAGCCUGAACCAGCCAAGUCGCGUGAAGGAAGAAGGAUCUAUGGUUCGUAAACUUCUUUUGCAGGGGAAUAAAGUGCAGGACGUGUCCUGUUUUGUAUGUACCCUGAGAAUAAGGAUCGGCUAACUCCGUGCCAGCAGCCGCGGUAAUACGGAGGAUCCGAGCGUUAUCCGGAUUUAUUGGGUUUAAAGGGUGCGUAGGUGGUUUGAUAAGUCAGCGGUGAAAGUUUGCAGCUUAACUGUAAAAAUGCCGUUGAAACUGUCUGACUUGAGUGUAAAUGAGGUAGGCGGAAUGCGUGGUGUAGCGGUGAAAUGCAUAGAUAUCACGCAGAACUCCGAUUGCGAAGGCAGCUUACUAAGCUACAACUGACACUGAAGCACGAAAGCGUGGGGAUCAAACAGGAUUAGAUACCCCUGUA